rnacentral:rRNA from 2 species
UAGGGAAUCUUCGGCAAUGGGGGGAACCCUGACCGAGCAACGCCGCGUGAGUGAAGAAGGUUUUCGGAUCGUAAAGCUCUGUUGUUAAGGAAGAACGAGUGUGAGAAUGGAAAGUUCAUGCUGUGACGGUACUUAACCAGAAAGGGACGGCUAACUACGUGCCAGCAGCCGCGGUAAUACGUAGGUCCCGAGCGUUGUCCGGAUUUAUUGGGCGUAAAGCGAGCGCAGGCGGUUAGAAAAGUCUGAAGUGAAAGGCAGUGGCUCAACCAUUGUAGGCUUUGGAAACUGUUUAACUUGAGUGCAGAAGGGGAGAGUGGAAUUCCAUGUGUAGCGGUGAAAUGCGUAGAUAUAUGGAGGAACACCGGUGGCGAAAGCGGCUCUCUGGUCUAUAACUGACGCUGAGGCUCGAAAGCGUGGGGAGCGAACAGG